CGGUAAUACGAAGGGACCUAGCGUAGUUCGGAAUUACUGGGCUUAAAGAGCUCGUAGGUGGUUAAGAAAGUUGGUGGUGAAAUCCCAAGGCUUAACCUUGGAACUGCCACCAAAACUUUUUGACUAGAGUAUGAUAGAGGUAAGUGGAAUUUCUAGUGUAGAGGUGAAAUUCGUAGAUAUUAGAAAGAACACCAAUUGCGAAGGCAACUUUCUGGAUCAUUACUGACACUGAGGAGCGAAAGCAUGGGUAGCGAAGAGGAUUAGAUACCCUCGUAGUCCAUGCUGUAAACGAUGUGUGCUAGACGUUGGAAAUUUAGUUUUCAGUGUCGCAGCGAAAGCGUUAAGCACACCGCCUGGGGAGUACGACCGCAAGGUUAAAACUCAAAUGAAUUGACGGGGACCCGCACAAGCAGUGGAGCAUGUGGUUUAAUUCGAAGAUACGCGCAGAACCUUACCAACACUUGACAUGUUCGUCGCGAACCUAAGAGAUUAGGUUCUUCAGUUUGGCUGGACGAAACACAGGUGCUGCAUGGCUGUCGUCAGCUCGUGUCGUGAGAUGUUGGGUUAAGUCCCGCAACGAGCGCAACCCCCACUUUUAGUUGCCACCAUUUAGUUGAGCACUCUAAAAGAACUGCCAGUGAUAAGCUGGAGGAAGGCGGGGAUGACGUCAAGUCCUCAUGGCCCUUACGUGUUGGGCUACACACGUGCUACAAUGGCACUUACAAUGAGAUGCGAAGAGGCGACUCCAAGCUAAUCUUAAAAAGGUGCCUCAGUUCGGAUUGUACUCUGCAACUCGAGUACAUGAAGCUGGAAUUGCUAGUAAUCGCGGAUCAGCGCGCCGCGGUGAAUACGUUCCCGGG
rnacentral:rRNA from 1 species